rnacentral:misc_RNA from 1 species
GUCCUUUUGAAAUCACAGAGGAACCAACACCCAAAAGUGCAAAUGCAUUCAACAAAAAUUAGUGAAUCAUCCAGAAAAUCGACAUAAAUCUUGAACAAACACAUUCAAAACUUCCAAAACUCACAAAUGAGUGAAUCACAACCCAGAAAAUAGACAGAAAUCUUCAACAACAAACAAGAACAAAACCUUAAACAAACCAAGUACCAAUAUGCCAAGUAACCACAAAUCUAAAAAACCCAAAUCUCAAACGCAACAAAAAGAACACAGAUCAACAAACCCAAGUCCCAAACCCAAAGACCUUGAGAUCUCUAGACAGUAGCAGAGGAAGCGUCACUAAAUGUAACAUCAAAUUAGAGGCACAGACCACCCUACUCAAUGUGGAGGUGCAGGUUAGGCAUGUAAAGGCCAAGUAUGGAGCAUCAUUGGGACUCGGGUCAAAAAGUAAGGACUAUGCAAUGGCAAGGAGGUGAGACAUGCGGGAGGAGGUUCGACGGCCGAGGAAAGAACAAUGAGAAAUAAAGAGGGAGGAGCUUCGAUCGACGAUGGCUGACUUGACUGUGAGAUGGUGAGGAGCUGAGGAGGUGUGAUCUAUGAAAGGGAUUUGAACCUUUGGCUUGUGGGAAGUGGAAAAUAACUGAAGGGACAAAGGUUUCCUUGUAUAUACAUAUAUGGGAGGGUAAAAGGACACUAUUUUGUAAUUCAG